UAGCAGCACGUAAAUAUUGGCGUAGUGAAAUAUAUAUUAAACACCAAUAUUACUGUGCUGCUUUA
rnacentral:pre_miRNA from 4 species